rnacentral:rRNA from 1 species
UACGUAGGGUGCGAGCGUUGUUCGGAUUCAUUGGGCGUAAAGGGUGCGUAGGCGGCGAGGCAAGUCUGAUGUGAAAUCCCGGGGCUCAACCCCGGAACUGCAUUGGAUACUGCCCUGCUAGAGUACUGGAGAGGAGAUUGGAAUUUACGGUGUAGCAGUGAAAUGCGUAGAUAUCGUAAGGAAGACCAGUGGCGAAGGCGGAUCUCUGGACAGCUACUGACACUGAGGCACGAAGGCCAGGGGAGCAAACGGG